GGAAGGCUGACUAGCAGAAUCAAACAAACCGCAAAGACAAGAGUGGAUAGCAUGGUUAGCCUGAGAGAAAGCCACUCCAUGGAACCGAGAUUAUGGAACCAUGGUCUGGAGUGAUUGUGAAAAAGACCAAGUAGGUGUGGAGUCAAAGAAGGACAUUGGGGCACGCAGGACGCAGUGGGUCAUGUUCUUGAACAGUUUUUCUGAUGUUAGCAGACCUAUUAGUGAUGUGAGGAUGGAGCGGGCGAAGAUACAUAAUGCACUUCCCAUAGAUAGUGCUAUAUACACGGAGAAAAGGAGGCCUAAUCCGACUGUGGGGUUGGUUGCAGAUGAUGGAGGGGAUGCCCAUGCCAUCCAAUAGUUGCUUGCUACCUGAAAUAUUUGGAAUAAUAACUGUGCAGCGAUUGUUAUUGGAACUAAAGCACCACCAUGAACUAUCCUCAGCGAGUUCAUCUUCUGUAUAUGCUGAUUUCUGGUUAUCUGAGGAUAUUCUGCUGGAGCUCUCAGCACUUAUGACAGAUUCAAGAGCCUGGCUAUGGGCUCCUACUAUAGCUUCGAAUCCUAUAUUCCCCUCAAGGAGUUCAUCAAAUUUCCCUUUCUGCACAAUCUUUCCACCCUGCAUCACCUGUUAACUUGUAUCCACAUGAUCAGUUACUUGGCAUCUUCAACCUUUGGUCUUUGGACAUGAUUGGCUAAACAAAAAAGUAUUUUAGCCACCUACCAGUAUAAGAUCUGCAGCUGGAAGAAAUUCGACUUGGUGGGUCACGUACAGUACUGUUUUGUCUUUGAGGAUUCCCAUAACACAAUCCUGCAUGAUCCAAUUAUUUAUUUACUUAGAAUAUGUACCGACCGACUGCUGUCCUAAAAGUCCUAAAUGGUGAACAUAUGAAAUUCACAGUACAUAAUUGAAGUAUAUUUAUGCAUUUCUUGGAACUGCAACAAAC